rnacentral:rRNA from 1 species
UACAGAGGGGGCGAAGCAGUUGUUCGGUGAAUUACUGGGCGUAAAGGGCGCGUAGGCGGCCUGAUAAGUCGGGGGUGAAAGCCUGUGGCUCAACCACAGAAUUGCCUUCGAUACUGUUGGGCUUGAGACCGGAAGAGGUAAGUGGAACUGCGAGUGUAGAGGUGAAAUUCGUAGAUAUUCGCAAGAACACCAGUGGCGAAGGCGGCUUACUGGUCCGGAUCUGACGCUGAGGCGCGAAAGCGUGGGGGAGCAAACAGG